CGACGGGUAGCCGGCCUGAGAGGGCGACCGGCCACACUGGGACUGAGACACGGCCCAGACUCCUUCGGGAGGCAGCAGUGGGGAAUAUUGCGCAAUGGGCGGAAGCCUGACGCAGCGACGCCGCGUGAGGGAUGAAGGCCUUCGGGUUGUAAACCUCUUUCAGCAGGGAAGAAGCGAAAGUGACGGUACCUGCAGAAGAAGCACCGGCUAACUACGUGCCAGCAGCCGCGGUAAUACGUAGGGUGCAAGCGUUGUCCGGAAUUAUUGGGCGUAAAGAGCUCGUAGGCGGUCUGUCGCGUCUGCUGUGAAAACUCGGGGCUUAACUCCGGGCCUGCAGUGGGUACGGGCAGACUAGAGUGCGGUAGGGGAGACUGGAAUUCCUGGUGUAGCGGUGAAAUGCGCAGAUAUCAGGAGGAACACCGGUGGCGAAGGCGGGUCUCUGGGCCGUAACUGACGCUGAGGAGCGAAAGCGUGGGGAGCGAACAGGAUUAGAUACCCUGGUAGUCCACGCCGUAAACGUUGGGCGCUAGGUGUGGGGCUCUUUCCACGAGUUCCGUGCCGCAGCAAACGCAUUAAGCGCCCCGCCUGGGGAGUACGGCCGCAAGGCUAAAACUCAAAGGAAUUGACGGGGGCCCGCACAAGCGGCGGAGCAUGCGGAUUAAUUCGAUGCAACGCGAAGAACCUUACCAAGGCUUGACAUGGGCGGUAAUCCGGCAGAGAUGUCGGGUCCGUAAGGGCCGUUCACAGGUGGUGCAUGGUUGUCGUCAGCUCGUGUCGUGAGAUGUUGGGUUAAGUCCCGCAACGAGCGCAACCCUCGUUCCAUGUUGCCAGCACGUUAUGGUGGGGACUCAUGGGAGACUGCCGGGGUCAACUCGGAGGAAGGUGGGGAUGACGUCAAAUCAUCAUGCCCCUUAUGUCUUGGGCUUCACGCAUGCUACAAUGGCCAGUACAAAGGGCUGCGAGACCGUAAGGUGGAGCGAAUCCCAAAAAGCUGGUCUCAGUUCGGAUCGGGGUCUGCAACUCGACCCCGUGAAGUCGGAGUCGCUAGUAAUCGCAGAUCAGCAACGCUGCGGUGAAUACGUUCCCGGGCCUUGUACACACCGCCCGUCACGUCACGAAAGUCGGUAACACCCGAAGCCGGUGGCCUAACCCGUGAGGGAGGGAACUGUCGAAGGUGGGACUGGCGAUUGGGACGAAGUCGUAACAAGGUAGCCGUACCGGAGGGUGCGGCUG
rnacentral:rRNA from 1 species